rnacentral:rRNA from 1 species
CCUACGGGAGGCAGCAGUGGGGAAUAUUGGACAAUGGGGGCAACCCUGAUCCAGCAAUUCUGUGUGCACGAAGAAGGUUUUCGGAUUGUAAAGUGCUUUCAGCAGGGAAGAAGAAAGUGACGGUACCUGCAGAAGAAGCGACGGCUAAAUACGUGCCAGCAGCCGCGGUAAUACGUAUGUCGCAAGCGUUAUCCGGAAUUAUUGGGCAUAAAGGGCAUCUAGGCGGCCAGACAAGUCUGGGGUGAAAACUUGCGGCUCAACCGCAAGCCUGCCCUGGAAACUGUUUGGCUAGAGUGCUGGAGAGGUGGACGGAACUGCACGAGUAGAGGUGAAAUUCGUAGAUAUGUGCAGGAAUGCCGAUGAUGAAGAUAGUUCACUGGACGGCAACUGACGCUGAAGUGCGAAAGCUAGGGGAGCGAACAGGAUUAGAUACCCUGGUAGUCCUAGCUGUAAACGAUGAUUACUGGGUGUGGGCAUGAAGAGUGUCCGUGCCGAAGCUAAUGCGAUAAGUAAUCCGCCUGGGGAGUGCGGUCGCAAGGCUGAAACUCAAAGGAAUUGACGG